CAUUGCUCUUGACUUCAGC
rnacentral:piRNA from 1 species